AAUACUCAAAGGAAAUUGGCUUUUCUCCUGAAAGAGAUGGAUUCAUUAAGGAAAUUUAGAUUGUGACUUCAAUGUUCGUUUUCAUGAACAUCACUGUUCACUAAAAUCAAAACGAGAAAUAUGUUUGGAGAAGGCGUUAACUAGAUUAGUAAAUGUUGAUUCUUAUUAGCUUAUCAGCUAAAAUAUUGCAUAGUGGCAAGGAAGAGCAAAUAGCUUGGCUGGAAUGUAGGUUUCAUUUAUAUCAGGAAAAUCAGGCUGUGGAGUCUAGAAACUCCUACGUAGGUUUUACCUAGGAGUGUGACUAAUGGAAUAGAGAAGUUUAAUAGCACCAGCACAUUUCAGAAGGCUGCUGAAUAGUAGACAGUUGCAAAUACAUUAUAUUGAGGGAUCUGCUAACAGGAUGUACUCUGAACAAGAAAACAUUGCAGAAACAAUCUACAUGUAUAUCAUAGCUCCAGGAUUACUGUUCAGGGGGUCAUUUAUGUUUAUAACCUUCAAAAAUUCAAAGCUCUUACGUUAUUUGAUCAUGCUUAUUUUCAUGGGAAUCAGUGCUUUUAUUCCUAUUUAAAUGGCUAAAGUUGUUAUGCAUUGGGAGAUGGGUUUCUUAUUCUGCCUUUACGUUAUAAAAACAACAAAAUGAUAUAUUUGUUGUCUUCUCAAGUAUUUAUCCUUAUCCCUUAAAAUUAACAUCUGCCAAAUAAUUUUACCAAAGAAAAACAGGCAAAUCCAGAAUAUCUUCUUAUCUAGUGAAGGCCAUUGCUUAAAUAUGUCCACUCCAUAAAUCAAGUAAAUAACAACCCCAAGAUAUUUUCUUUUUUCACACUGAAUGCAUCCUGAAAACACGAAAUUAGGUACACCCUUUGUUGUUCUCAUAUACUGUUUAUGUGACACAUAUAAGUGAAAAUGGAUUAUGCUCUUAUAUACACAUUAAUCUCAAAAAAGACUUUUGUGCUUUUAGAAUUCACAGGCAAUGUGCAAAUUCUUGAUGAGCAUGUCUACAUUUUCUACUUAUUUUUGUGGUUGUAGUUUUGAGAUGGAGUCUAGCUCUGUCCCCUGGGCUGGAGUGCAAUGGUGCGAUCAUAGCUCACUUCAGUCUCAAAAUCCUGGGCUCAAGAGAUUGUCCCACCUCAGCCUACCGAGCAGCUAGAACCGCAGGUGCAUGUCACCAUGUCCAGCUAAUUUUUAUUUUUACUUUUAUUUUUUGUAGAGAUGUGGUCUCCCUGUAUUGCCCAGUCUGGCCUAGAACUCCUGGCCUCAACUGAUCCUCCUGACUCAGUCUCUCAAAGUGCUGGGAUUACAGGCAUGAGCCACCACACUGGCAAAUGUCUACAUUUUUUAAAACAAAUUAAACAUAAAGAGCUCAUAAAGAAUAGUCAAAGUUUAUUUGUGGAAAAAUAUAAGACUGAUCUAUAAGCUUUUAAUUCCACUAUAAUUUGUGAAUGUAAACCUCUCUUUAAGAUAAAAGCAGAUUCUAGCAUCAUGAGGUACCUGAGGGCUCUAGUUAGUUACCAAGAUGGGAAAUGUGCCUGGGGCUUUCUGUAAUUGCAUUUCCACCUUGAUUUGAUAGGGUUGAUUUGGCAAACUAGCAUUUUCUCUCUAUCUGUGUACUUCCACCAUGCUCCAGCUCAGUGAUUUUCUAAUGUUGGUGGGCAGAGAAUCAAGUAGAGACUUAGUCAACUUGGGCCCCUCUCCAGAGACCUGCCUCAGUAGAACUAGGCUGGGGUCCAAGGAAACUAUUUUUAACAAGAACCCCUUAGUAACUUUUUCUAACCUAAGAACGCUUCUACCUACAGUAUUGGCACUGCUGGAUAGAGUGGCCGGUGUGAGUCAAAUGAGGGUGCAUGCUCUAAAUUCUAAACCAGUAUCAAGAUUCAUCUGUGGAGAAUAUAGUGUUAAAUAAUGUUAUUUGUGAUUAAGCAUUAGCGUGUAUAGAAUUAAGUCAUGAACACUUUUCAUAGAAUGCAAACAAUGUAUACCCCACAUGACAUUAAAAAUCUAUGUCAUCAUUGUCAUCAUCAAAAUUACUAUUUGACAAACUCUUUUAAGAACGUGUGUACAUACACACCAUUUGCAAGCAACAAAAGUGACAGAGGGAAAACGCUUCACUCAAGAUACACAGAACGAGGCCCAUAUGGAGAAAUGGACAGAAGUUACUGACAAAUAAAAUAAAAGAUUUGAACAGUAAGAAAAAUCUGCCUGUGUCUACACAGAAAGUUGGCUAUUAUAAAGAUGAAAAUUCUCCCUAAAUCAAGUUACAUAUUCCUGAAAACAAAACGUGAUUAUUUUUCCUGAAAGAAACUAUCCUCCAAAACAGAGGGAGCCAUUUUAUAUUUGACUUCUUACAAAAUCUCUCAUAACGUGGGGGCCUCUCUCUAUUUUAUUUCAAACUUCAUUUUGGGAAGACACAAAGGCUCUUGAAAUGAGAGCCACCAAUGUUUGUUUUAGAUGCUUAUAAAGCUUACCUCAUGGAGCUGUUAACAUAGCAAAAUAAAUUUUUUAACAAAGGAAAAUUUGGUAACUAUUUCUGGGGUAAAGAUUUUACAAUAGCAAGUAUUAUCACUAGACAUUACUUUAAAUGUGGAUUUUUUUAAAUCAUGGUAGAAAACAAUAUAAAAAGUGUUCAUGUGGCAGUUGUUAAGAAUACACAUCUUCAGGGUUUUUUAAUAUAAAAAGGGGAAAGAACAGUCUCAUUAUUAUAUGCAUAGUUUCUCUGAUUUGGUACAAAAUUUCCCAGUGAUGUCAUUGUGGAAUGAUCCAAGUGUUGCCUGUCAGCAGAGAUAGGAGUGAAGUUGAUGAUGAUGGUUAGAUGGCCUCACAAGGGACUCUAGUGAUAGUAAAGGUUCCAGUGGCAAACACACAAGUGAAAAGUUUGAAUAUAGUUUCAUAAUGUUUGAGAGUGUAAAAAAUGCAUUUUUAAAUUAAUGCAUUACUUUCUGUACUAUUUUAAAUAAGUGUGUAUCUAAAUAAACACAUAAAAUGUUAUGAGUAAA
rnacentral:lncRNA from 1 species